AUUGAACGCUGGCGGCAGGCCUAACACAUGCAAGUCGAACGGUAGCACAGAGAGCUUGCUCUCGGGUGACGAGUGGCGGACGGGUGAGUAACGUCUGGGAAACUGCCCGAUGGAGGGGGAUAACUACUGGAAACGGUAGCUAAUACCGCAUAACGUCGCAAGACCAAAGUGGGGGACCUUCGGGCCUCACACCAUCGGAUGUGCCCAGAUGGGAUUAGCUAGUAGGUGGGGUAAUGGCUCACCUAGGCGACGAUCCCUCGCUGGUCUGAGAGGAGGACGAGCCACACUGGAGCUGAGACACGGUCCAGACUUCGACGGGAGGCAGCAGUGGGGAAUAUUGCACAAUGGGCGCAAGCCUGAUGCAGCCAUGCCGCGUGUAUGAAGAAGGCCUUCGGGUUGUAAAGUACUUUCAGCGGGGAGGAAGGCGGUGAAGUUAAUAGCUUAACCGAUUGACGUUACCCGCAGAAGAAGCACCGGCUAACUCCGUGCCAGCCGCCGCAGUAA
rnacentral:rRNA from 1 species